GGUCAGGACGAACGCUGGCGGCGUGCCUAAUACAUGCAAGUCGAACGGUCUUUCUAUGGAAGCUUGCUUCCACUGAGAAGAUAGUGGCGAACGGGUGAGUAACACGUGGGUAACCUGCCCAUAAGAGGGGGGAUAACAUCCGGAAACGGGUGCUAAUACCGCAUAGUUUUCUUGGUCGCAUGAUCGGGAAAGGAAAGACGGCCUUUGUGCUGUCGCUUAUGGAUGGACCCGCGGCGUAUUAGUUAGUUGGUGAGGUAACGGCUCACCAAGACGAUGAUACGUAGCCGACCUGAGAGGGUGAUCGGCCACAUUGGGACUGAGACACGGCCCAAACUCCUACGGGAGGCAGCAGUAGGGAAUCUUCCGCAAUGGACGAAAGUCUGACGGAGCAACGCCGCGUGAGUGAAAGAAGGUUUUCGGAUCGUAAAACUCUGUUGUCAGAGAAGAACAAGUUGGAGAGUAACUGCUCCAGCCUUGACGGUAUCUGACCAGAAAGCCACGGCUAACUACGUGCCAGCCGCCGC
rnacentral:rRNA from 1 species